rnacentral:RNase_P_RNA from 1 species
GGGUGGCUAGGCAAACCCCGCCCGGAGCAAGGCCAAAUAGGAAUCCGCUGGCGUGGUCCGCGCCGGAUUCGGGUAGGCCGCUGGAGGUCUUCGGCGACGGAGACCCUAGAUGAAUGGCUGCACGCCGGAUUGCGGCGGGGCAAUGCUCCCGGCGCUCCGGUGACAGAACCCGGCUUAUCGGCCAGCUCUACUU